rnacentral:lncRNA from 10 species
AGAGCGGGACAAGGAGAACCGGCAUCGGAAGCGCAGCCACAGCCGCUCUCGGAGCCGGGACCGCAAACGCCGGAGCCGGAGCCGCGACCGGCGCAACCGGGACCAGCGGAGCGCCUCCCGGGACAGGCGACGACGCAGCAAACCUUUGACCAGAGGCGCUAAAGAGGAGCACGGUGGACUGAUGUGAGCUUCUCUUCCUGCCCCUUCCUCCCUGAUGUCCACUCCCUUCACCUUCCUCACGCCCGUGCACCCUGUCCCGCCCAUUUCCAGCCCUGGCCCAAGCACUGGGAAGAGUCCACUUACCUUGAAACCAGCACCCCUUUCCCAGGCCCUGCCCCAGACCCUCUCCUUCCCUGGAGAGAGUGGAGCUUACAUGGUUGCGGGGAGGGUGAAAGGGUGCCUGGGAGGGGGCUCGCAGGCCCACUGUUGGUCAGACUGAGGUUGCCC